rnacentral:rRNA from 1 species
AACGAACGCUGGCGGCAUGCCUAACACAUGCAAGUCGAACGAGACCUUCGGGUCUAGUGGCGCACGGGUGCGUAACGCGUGGGAACCUGCCCUUAGGUUCGGAAUAACUCCCCGAAAGGGGUGCUAAUACCGGAUAAUGUCUUCGGACCAAAGAUUUAUCGCCUUUGGAUGGGCCCGCGUUGGAUUAGCUAGUUGGUAGGGUAAAAGCCUACCAAGGCGACGAUCCUGAGCUGGUCUGAGAGGAUGAUCAGCCACACUGGGACUGAGACACGGCCCAGACUCCUACGGGAGGCAGCAGUGGGGAAUAUGGGACAAUGGGCGAAAGCCUGAUCCAGCCAUGCCGCGUGAGUGAUGAAGGCCUUAGGGUUGUAAAGCUCUUUUACCCGGGAUGAUAAUGACAGUACCGGGAGAAUAAGCUCCGGCUAACUCCGUG